rnacentral:rRNA from 1 species
UACGAAGGGGACUAGCGUUGUUCGGAAUUACUGGGCGUAAAGCGCACGUAGGCGGAUUUGUAAGUCAGGGGUGGAAUCCCGGGGCUCAACCUCGGAACUGCCUUUGAUACUGCAAAUCUCGAGUCCGAUAGAGGUGGGUGGAAUUCCUAGUGUAGAGGUGAAAUUCGUAGAUAUUAGGAAGAACACCGGUGGCGAAGGCGGCCCACUGGAUCGGUACUGACGCUGAGGUGCGAAAGCGUGGGGAGCAAACAGG